GCUAUGCGGCCAGGGGUUGGGGGUGGUAGGGGAGCGUUGUGUACUGGGUGAAGCGGCCGAGUGAUUGUGUCGUGGACGGUACGCAAGUGAGAAUGCAGGCAUGAGUAGCGAUACUAGGGUGAGAAACCCUAGCGCCGAAUGACCAAGGGUUCCAGGGCUAGGCUAGUCCGCCCUGGGUGAGUCGGGUCCUAAGGCGAGGCCGACAGGCGUAGUCGAUGGAUAACCGGUUGAUAUUCCGGUACCGGCUGGUAACCGUCAAGUGUUGACUGAAAGGUACUAACCCACGCUAAAAACAUGGCUAGGCACUUUCGGGUGUUUGGUUGUGGUUUUGGUUUGGGGACAGGCUUUCUUGGUAGGCAAGCGUGUGGAGUGACGCACAGUGGAAGCCUUCGCGAGGUGAUGGUAUACCUCGUUUAACCGUGUAGCUUACUGCUUAGGUAAAUCCGGGUGGUUUUAUGUGAGGCGGGAUGAUGACCACCUUUGGGUGGGAAGUAGGGGUGAUCCUGUGGUGCCGAGAAAAGCUUCGACGCGAGGUUGUUAGCCGCCCGUACCCUAAACCGACACAGGUGGUCGGGCAGAGUAUGCCUAGGCGCACGAGUGAAUCAUGGUUAAGGAACUCGGCAAAAUGCCCCCGUAACUUCGGGAGAAGGGGGGCCUGAUACUUGAUGAAACCGUUUUUGGCUUUCUAGGGUUGAGGGUCGCAGAGACCAGGGAGAAGCGACUGUUUACUAAAAACACAGGUGCGUGCGAAGCCGUAAGGCGAUGUAUACGCACUGACGCCUGCCCGGUGCUGGAAGGUUAAGAGGAACCGUUAACACUCCUUUGUGGGUGUGAAGCGGUGAAUUUAAGCCCCAGUAAACGGCGGUGGUAACUAUAACCAUCCUAAGGUAGCGAAAUUCCUUGUCGGGUAAGUUCCGACCUGCACGAAUGGCGUAACGACUUCUCUACUGUCUCAACCAUGAACUCGGCGAAAUUGCAUUACGAGUAAAGAUGCUCGUUACGCGCAGAAGGACGGAAAGACCCCGGGACCUUUACUAUAGCUUGGUAUUGGUGCGCGUUAUAGCUUGUGUAGGAUAGGUGGGAGACUGUGAAGUGGUCACGCUAGUGAUUGUGGAGUCGUUGUUGAAAUACCACUCUGGUUAUAGCGUGUGCCUGAACCUUGGCCCGUGAUCCGGGUUAGGGACAGUGCCUGGUGGGUAGUUUAACUGGGGCGGUUGCCUCCUAAAGUGUAACGGAGGCGCUCAAAGGUUCCCUCAGCCUGGUCGGCAACCAGGUGUUGAGUGCAAGUGCACAAGGGAGCUUGACUGUGAGACCGACGGGUCGAGCAGGUACGAAAGUAGGAACUAGUGAUCCGGCGAUCCCGUGUGGGUGGGUCGUCGCUCAACGGAUAAAAGGUACCCCGGGGAUAACAGGCUGAUCCUGCCCAAGAGUCCAUAUCGACGGCAUGGUUUGGCACCUCGAUGUCGGCUCGUCGCAUCCUGGGGCUGGAGUCGGUCCCAAGGGUUGGGCUGUUCGCCCAUUAAAGCGGUACGCGAGCUGGGUUCAGAACGUCGUGAGACAGUUCGGUCCCUAUCCUCUGUGCGCGCAGGAAAUUUGAGAAGGGCCGUCCCUAGUACGAGAGGACCGGGAUGGACGAACCUCUGGUGUGCCAGUUGUACCGCCAGGUGCAUGGCUGGUUGGCUACGUUCGGAAGGGAUAACCGCUGAAAGCAUCUAAGCGGGAAGCCUGUUUCGAGAUAAGGUUUCGUGAUCAGGUGCCCUCUAGACUAGGGGGUUGAUAGGCCAGAGCUGGAAGCGUAGUAAUGCGUGUUGAGGUGACUGGUACUAAUGCGCCGAACACACCCAA
rnacentral:rRNA from 1 species